UACGUAGGGGGCUAGCGUUGUCCGGAUUUAUUGGGCGUAAAGAGCGUGUAGGCGGCCAGGUAGGUCUGCUGUGAAAACUCGAGGCUCAACCUCGAGACGUCGGCGGAAACCAUCUGGCUAGAGUCCGGAAGAGGAGAGUGGAAUUCCUGGUGUAGCGGUGAAAUGCGCAGAUAUCAGGAAGAACACCCGUGGCGAAGGCGGCUUCCUGGGCCGCCCCUGACGCUGAGGCGCGAAAGCGUGGGGAGCGAACGGG
rnacentral:rRNA from 1 species